AGUGAACGCUGGCGGUAGGCCUAACACAUGCAAGUCGAACGGCAGCACAGUAAGAGCUUGCUCUUACGGGUGGCGAGUGGCGGACGGGUGAGGAAUACAUCGGAAUCUACUUUUUCGUGGGGGAUAACGUAGGGAAACUUACACUAAUACCGCAUACGACCUACGGGUGAAAGCAGGGGAUCUUCGGACCUUGCGCGAUUGAAUGAGCCGAUGUCGGAUUAGCUAGUUGGCGGGGUAAAGGCCCACCAAGGCGACGAUCCGUAGCUGGUCUGAGAGGAUGAUCAGCCACACUGGAACUGAGACAAGGUCCAGACUCCUACGGGAGGCAGCAGUGGGGAAUAUUGGACAAUGGGCGCAAGCCUGAUCCAGCCAUACCGCGUGGGUGAAGAAGGCCUUCGGGUUGUAAAGCCCUUUUGUUGGGAAAGAAAAGCAGCAGGUUAAUACCCCGCUGUUCUGACGGUACCCAAAGAAUAAGCACCGGCUAACUUCGUG
rnacentral:rRNA from 1 species